rnacentral:lncRNA from 1 species
UGCACAUCAGUUGAUUCACCCACAUAAACUUCUUAACUCAAUACAUCUUCUCCCAGUAAGUUUUGAUUUUUUUCUUUUCAACAUACAACAUGAUGCAAAUAAGGUUUUAAACAUACUAACCUUUGGUGGCAUCUGGCAGACGACCCUCAGGUGGUGGCUCCGGCUUGUCCUGAGAUAAGAGGAGGACCAUUGUCAGCAUAAAAUAACAAGAUAAAUACAUUAUGAUAAAUGAAGAGAAUACAAAAUUGUAACAUCUAUCAAGAAUCAGAAUAUAAAUAGAGAAUAGAUGUAGGACAAUAUUUUAACUAAACUUGGAGGUCCACCAUCAUGUAGAUCUGUUCUAAUCUGCCACAAAGGAAUAGUGGCAUCAUGAGAAGAAAAGGAUAAAAUUGAAAAAAACAAGCAAAUCAUGUAUACCGUUUAAACAAAGAAAAGAAAAGGCCCCAGAAGAAAAAGGGGAAAAGACACAUGAUUUUUUUUUCUCCAAUGGCACUUUUACAAUGAACCAAACAAAAUCAGUAAAAAAAGAACAGAAAAUUUUUAGGGAAAAAUUUUAUACAAAUAAAUAAAAAUGGACACUGGCUUUGGAACACAUUUUAAACUCCUUUUGAUCAAUUGCUGUGGUUUUUGCCAUUCUCCAUGCAAAAACCCCAAUCCACUAGAAUAGAAAUAUAAUUACAUUCGUUUCAUUUUUUUUUUUUUGUCAGACAAAUGCUGUCUGAAAACGACUUUAGAAGUACUGUUCUUUUUUGUAGAGAAAUUAAUUAAGAUUUUUCCCCUUUCAAAGGACAAUGACUUUACAUAAAGCAGAAAAGGAAAUACCCAAAUACCCAAAAUCUUGAUAAUUUGGCAUCAAAAACCACAUUUCCCCCAUAAAAGGAAAGACAGACCAAUAAAACAAAAUAAAGACAUGUCAGAUACAUGCAUUGAAGUUUACAUGGCAUCUACACCUCUUAAAGUAAUAGAUCAAACAAAACAUGCUUAUAGAAACAUUGUGAUUCGGGCCACAGUCCCAAAACUGAGUGAAUAGGCCAUGCUGUAUUUAAAAAUAUAGGUUCUACCAAGUAUUCAGACCAAUCCAUUGGUUAUCUGCCAGAGGCAUAUGGACAAAUUAGUGCAUCAUAUAAGCUUUAAAGCAGGCGAAGUUAGAAUCCAGACAAAUUAGACAACCAUAUUGCAAGCUCUAGGUUACCAAGCUUUAAUAUCAACUAAUAAGUUUGCAAUGUAGCAUUAAGAAACAAUGCAAACACCGCUACCACCAAAGCAUUAUGUGGUGACUAUGAUAUCUGCUCCACAUCAAAUUUUCACUACAACCUAUUAAAAUACAUGAACCUAGUAAGCAAAAGGUAGGAUGCCCAGCUCCAACCCACCAAAUUUCAGUUUUUGAUUCAACCCAUACAAAACUUAUCUAGAUCAAAACAAUCACAAAAUUGAACUGUUAUACAGAACUACUUCCUUGUCCUAAUUUUAAAUAUGGAAUAUAACAGAGAUAGUCUGGUAAGGAAAACAUAAAUAAAAAGGAGGACAAGACAAUCCUAAGCAACAUAUUACAGCAACAGAUCAACUAAAUAGUUAGAACUUAAAAGUUUUUUCUUUAAAAAGAAUAUGCAAUUUUAACUGAAAUGAAAGAAUGGUGAUAAUUCACCUACCUCUCUCCCUGGGUGGAAAGGAAUUUCAGGCCCUCCAGUGACCUCAACAGCAACAACUCCAGCCAACUAAGUAACAUAGAAAAUGAAAAAGAAAAGUCAAUGUCUGAAAGCAUAAAAGAAAAAUUAUUGAAUAGAGUGGGAUAGGUGUGAUAAUGGCCCAAAAGGGAUAGCAAUUUUGAUAAUUCUGGUUAAGGACAAGACAAAGGGGGGAAAAUUUCCACAAAGGCCAUUUAGCAAAAUAAUAAACCAAAAUUUCAUAACUAUCCUUUAGUUAAAGUGGACAAAAUUUCAUAAAUCAAAAUAAUAAACCAAAACAAUUCUAAAAAAAUAUUUUCAAAACAACAUCUAAUAUGUUUUCUAAAACAUUUCCAUUUCUACUUUUAUCUAAAUUUAUAAAUAAAUAAAAAAGUUUCCCUAAUAAUGCAAUAAGAAUGAUUAUUUUUCAUAAUUUUUCUCUAAUUUCAAAUUUAUAAAUCAUGCUUUUUUAUUAUUAAGAUUGUGAAGAAAAAAUGUCUAAUUUUUUAUUUGGGUUGUUUAAAAGAAUUAGAAACACUAAUUCAUCAUUUUUUGUUUUUUACAAUUGAAUAAUUUUAAAAAAUUAUAUAAUGUUCAUAAUUUUUAGUUUUUUUCGUUUGCAUUGCAUGUUUAUCUUCUUUUUUUUUUUCUUUCAUAGCAUACAAUGAUGGAUGUUAAUACAUUGUAAUUUUAUAUUGGAUGUCGAUGAGGUAUAACUCCAAUACUAUUAUUUCUAUUAUAAAAAUAUAUUAUAAUUACAAUAUAAAUAUACUAAAAUUAUAAUACAUUACAACAAAACCUAAUUUAGAAAAUUUUAAACUUUUAUGUUCGCUAACAUAUUUAUAUUAUGAACCAUCUUUUAAAUCAAAUAAAGUAUUAAUUUGAAUUCAUGAAGCAUUUUUUUAAUUAUAAAAAUAAUUAAACAAUUUCAAUGCAUAAAAGUAAUGAUGUCAAUAGGGUAUAAAAAGGUAUUUCUAAAAUUAUUAAUUUUGUCAUAAAAAAAAAGGUGGGACAUAAAUUCAUUACACUUACAUUACAAAUGCACUACUAUAUUACAAUACAUUACAAUACAACCUAAUUAUUAAAAUCUUUAAUUUUUUUCACGUGCCAUACCAUUAGCCGAAUAUUUGUGUGUUAUAUUGAAUUGAGAUGCUCAUGAAAAAUAAAGCACACAUAAAAAUUAACUGUUUAUUCAAUUAGGGCAACAAAGCUUUUACGUAGCUAUAAGCAAUUGCUAAAGUUUGUUGUUACAUGCAUAAAGUAGCAUAUUAACCCUUGGGAUUGGUUUUUAUUUAAUAAAAAUCUCAAUUCUUUUUUUAAAUGAGAAAAGUAUAUUUCAAAUAAUCUAAUUUCUAAUAAUGAAAUUAAAAAAAUUAUAUAAAUUUGUAUUAGUUAUCCUUUGACUUUCCUAUUCUUUUCAACCCACAUAAGCUUAAGCAUGGUGAAUUGUAGGGUAAAGUUUAACUCUAAGGAAGAAAGGAGUAAUGGGAAAAAAAUUGACAAAAGGUAAAGUUAAUGUCUCAGAAGUUAGUUCCUCGAGGGAAUUUGAUAAAUAAGUGGCUGCCAUUAUCCCAUCUGACCGACCUAUUUGGUUGAAUCCUAAACAUUAAUAUGCAAAACAAAUUCUCACGUCCACUGACGUUUGAAGUGAACAAGCAAACCAAGAGGCCAUCAGAUUUACAGCAGCUUUUAAGAGCCAAGCAAAAAAUUAGCGUCCGUUUACAAAUAUAUCCAUAUAUAUAUAUAUUUUCUCUUUCAUUUUCCUAAACGUGUUUCUUGCAAACGAAAAGGAUCAAAACGAAAAUUAACAAAGGGAAAAGAGGAAGCUAGGAAAAAAAUUGCAAGUAUUUAUAAUACCUGAUAGAAGUCAGCGUACGAAAUGAUAGGGAAUUGUUCCUUGAUAGGUUCCAAGAGCCUAACGGCUAUAUCAAGACCGUUGUUGGCUCCGUGAGCUAGCUCUUCUGGCUUCUUCAUCGUUCCGAAAGGACCUCCGGUUCUCGUCUUCACAUCGAAG